CACACAAAUGCCCAUCCAUGAACGACCAAGGAAGCUAGGCCCCUUGCCACACACUUGCCCAUCCAUGAACGACCAAGGAAGCUAGGCCCCUUGCCACACACUUGCCCAUGAACGGCCAAGGAAACAAGGCACCUUGCCACACAGCAUGCCCAUGAACGACCAAGGGACCAAGGCACCUUGCCACACACAUGCCCAUCCAUGAACGACCAAGGAAGCUAGGCCCCUUGCCACACAGCAUGCCCAUGAACGACCAAGGGAACAAGGCACCUUGCCACACACAUGCCCAUCCAUGAACGACCAAGGGAAGAA